rnacentral:lncRNA from 1 species
UAAAAGUGUAACUAUAAAGUGACAAAUUACUUCUUGGAAUUUAGAACUGUGACAAUACUUAAUUCAUUCCUUUAUUCCUCAUCCAACAGAACUGGACAUUUUCAUCCCCAACUUUGUUGCAUCAGCUACGUGGAACUAGGUCUACCAAACUCCUCUUUGUGGUUUCAUCGGAAGAACAGGGAAAGAGGUGAAGAAUUUCAUGGACCAGCAGAAGCUUUGUCCAGAAAAUGCCCAGAAGGUGUGUGCCGACAAAAAUGGUGCUACAGGGAAGAAAGGCACUGGGGAGUGUGCCCUUAUGAUCGGACAAAGAUCUUCUGCUGUUUUUGGAACUAUUGGAAUUAGCCACCUGGGAAAAGCAUCAAGGGCACCCACUGCCCUUAAUGAAUCCUAUAACUUCCUUUUGGCACAAGCUCUUUCUUCAAGGCCAGCUUCAUAAACCUGCGCAUUAGGACUCACCAGGCAGUCAAAUAAAAGCAAAGUGGUUGUGCGCA